rnacentral:misc_RNA from 1 species
CACAUGUGUUUUUUAUUGAACAAAUUUCUUUGGUGGCGGGAGCAAUCCUACCGCCAGAGGUUAUAACUAAACCAAACUUUUUAUUUACAGUCAAACUUGAUUUAUUAUUACAAUAGUCAAAACUUUCAACAACGGAUCUCUUGGUUCUCGCAUCGAUGAAGAACGCAGCGAAAUGCGAUACGUAAUAUGAAUUGCAGAUAUUCGUGAAUCAUCGAAUCUUUGAACGCACAUUGCGCCCUUUGGUAUUCCAAAGGGCAUGCCUGUUUGAGCGUCAUUUCUCCCUCAAACCCCCGGGUUUGGUGUUGAGCAAUACGCUAGGUUUGUUUGAAAGAAUUUACCGGGAAAC